rnacentral:lncRNA from 1 species
CAGAAACCACUUAAAAGAGGUAUUUUUGUCGUUACUAAUUAUGUUAGUAAAGUAUGGAUCCCCUUUAAGUAUGAAAACCUGCCAAUGUUCUGUUUUGGUUGUGGAAGAAUGGGGCAUGGGUUGAGUAAUUGCACUCAGAUAUCACCUGCAAGGAAAAUUAAAAUUAGUGAAAAUCCUCCUUAUUCGGUGGCAUUAAAAGCAGAAUCAAAAUUAAUUGGAAAAGAAAGUAUGUGUUUCAACUUUUUGAUGAAGCAGAAGAGGGUGCAAAGUUCUUAUACUGGAAGGGAAAGUCAGAAGCCCAAUGCUACAAUAUGUGUUGAGGAAGGAAUCACUGAGUUAGGGGGUUCACAGGAAAAUUUUAGAUUAAAGGAAGCGGGGGAGAUACUAAAAGAACAGAAUAGUACUUCAGGAUUAGGGGAAACUGAGAAGGUGUGUAAAAUUAUCAAAAAAAAGAGUCAAUUUUCAGACCAAGAGAAGAAUGCAGACGGGUUACGAACACAAGCUGGAGAAACAAUAAUAAAAAAUGAGAACUACACGAGGAAGAGGAAGUCCUUAGAUGGAGUUUUUAAUAGCUGUUUUAGAGAAAGUGUUGACAGAGAUGGAAUUAAAAGAAUNNNNNNNNNNNNNNNNNNNNNNNNNNNNNNNNNNNNNNNNNNNNNNNNNNNNNNNNNNNNNNNNNNNNNNNNNNNNNNNNNNNNNNNNNNNNNNNNNNNNAAGGUUCUUCAGUGAUGAUGACAGACAAUGGUAAGCAACUAGGGGUGCAAGAAUUAUUGAGAUCGGCGGCUGCCAACAGGCAAGCCGACCGGACGCAAUGAAAAUCGUAAGCUGGAAUGUUCAUGGAUUAGGGAGUCCACGAGCUGGAAGAAGACUGCGUUAUUUUCUAAAGCAGCACAAUCCCCAAGUGGUCUUCUUAAUGGAGACUAAAGUUGAUAAGCAAAAGAUGGAAAAAUUUAGACGAAGCUGCGGUUUUAUGAAUGGAAUUGAUGUUGAGGCUGAAGGCUCAAAAGGAGGUUUAUGCUUAGCUUGGAAAGGAGACUUGAUAGUCAGCUUACGGAGUUUCUCUAAAUCCCAUAUUGAUGUUUUGGUUAAAGAGGAGAAGGUCAAAGAAGAGUGGAGAUUUACAGGGUUCUAUGGAUCUCCCUAUAUUCAUAAUAAGAGUAAUUCAUGGGAACUUUUGAUGAAGUUGGGGCAAGAUAAGAACUAUCCUUGCCUGGUAAGCGGUGAUUUUAAUGAGAUUAUGUUUUCUUUUGAGAAAUGUGGGGGCGCCCCAAGGGAAGAAAGCAGAAUGCAAAUAUUUCGGGAGACAUUAGAAAACUGUCAGUUGGAGGUUUGGGGUUUUCAGGAGUAUGGUUUACAUGGGAAAGGGGAAAUUUACCAGAAACAAAUAUUAGAGAAAGACUUGAUAGGGGGUGAUAAAUGAUAAGUGGAGGAUCCUCUUUCCGGCAGGUAGGGUUAACCAUCUUUCUCACACAAUGUCGGAUCAUUGUCCAAUCUUUAUUACUACAGAUGGCGAUAAUAUUUACAAAGGCGAUUCAAAGUUUAAAUUUGAGGCGUGGUGGUUGAUGGAAGAGACGUGUGAAAUAACCAUCAGAAACUCUUGGGAGUCAGGAGUAGGUACAUUUAAAGAGAAACUUGGAAAACUACAAGCAGAUUUAUUAGUUUGGGCGAGAACAAUUAAAAAAGGAAGAGAAGGCUUAAAGAAAAAGUUAACAAAGCAGCUUGAUAUGUUAAUGGGGGAAGAAAGGAAUGAUAAUACGCUGGCAGAAAUUAUUGACACCAAGAUCCAUUUGAAUAUGGAAAUUGACAAAGACGAAAUUUAUUGGGAACAAAGGGCAAGGGCGAAUUGGCUUAAAGUAGGAGAUAAGAACUCAGCCUUUUUUCAUAGGUUUGCUACAUACCGCAGACGUAUUAAUUCAAUAUCCAGGUUGGAAAAAGAAGAGGGAGGAGAGGCUAAUGAAGAGAGUGAGAUUAAUGAAGUAGCUUCCUCCUAUUUUCAGGAGCUCUUUACGACAAAAGAAGAUGGGGACUGUUCAUAUCUCUUAUCGGGAGUUAAGAAAAGUAUUUCAACAGAUAUUAAUAAAGAUUUAUUGUCAGCUUUUACAGCAGACGAGUUAUACGCGGCACUCAAGGGAAUGGGACCUACAAAAGCUCCAGGACCUAACGGUUUCCCAGCUAUUUUCUUUCAGAAAUUCUGGCAUAUAGUAGGUGAGGAAACAUCUAAAUUCUGUCUAGAUAUCUUAAAUAAUGGUGCUACUUUCGGUAAUUUUAAUCAUACGGAUAUUGUGCUGAUCCCAAAAAUUCUAAAUCCCUCAAGCAUUGUUAACUUUAGACCCAUUAGCUUAUGCUCGGUGAUCUACAAAAUGGUCGCAAAAACAAUUGCCAACCGACUUCAAGUAGUUAUUGGAAGAUGUAUUGAUGCGACUCAAAGCGCGUUUGUUCCGGGAAGGUUAAUAACUGAUAAUGUGCUUCUAGCUUAUGAGAUCUUGCAUACUUUUCGACAGAAGCGCAGAGGGAAAAAGGGAUAUAUGGCGGUUAAAGUUGAUAUGAGCAAAGCUUAUGAUAGGGUUGAGUGGGGAUAUCUGAAGUAAGUAAUGUUACGAAUGGGUUUCGUAUCAGAAUGGGUUAGGUUGGUUAUGAAUUGUGUUUCCACAACAUCUUAUGCAGUUAAUAUCAAUGGAAGAAGUGGAAGAACCUUUUCACCGUCUAGAGGUUUGCGUCAAGGGGACCCUUUGAGCCCUUUUCUUUUUCUGAUUUGCAGUGAGGGAUUAUCAUCUUUGAUGAGAAUGGCUUCGGUGGCCGGAAAACUAAAAGGUGCAAAAGCCAGCAGAAGAGGACCAGAAAUUUCACACUUGCUUUUUGCUGAUGAUUGUAUUUUGUUCGGUGAAGCAUCAGAUAGGGGUGCUAGGGUACUAAAGGAUAUUUUGGAAAUAUAUGGAAAGUGUUCUGGGCAAUGUGUUAACUUUAAUAAGUCUACAAUAUUUUUUAGUACGAAUACAUCUGAUGAGAAGAAGAAAGAAGUAUCAGCAAAGUUGGGGAUUAGGACCUCUAAAAACUUAGAACGAUAUUUGGGGCUUCCAAACAUGGUUGGGCGUAGCAAGAAGGAAUAUUUUCAGUAGUUAAAAGAGAAGAUUGUUACUCGGAUUGAUGGGUGGAGUACUAGAUUAUUAUCCCAAGAAGUUUUUAUCAAAUCAGUGUUACAAGCCAUUCCAACCUAUGCUAUGUCGUGUUUUUUACUACCAAAGACUCUUUGUGGGGAAUUUGAAAAUAUAUUUGCUAAGUUUUGGUGGCAAAAAGCACAUAGAAGAAGAGGUGUCCACUGGUGUCAGUGGAAAUAUCUAUGUCGUCCUAAAGAUGAGGGUGGUUUGGGUUUCAGAAAUAUGGCUCAAUUUAAUAUCUCCCUUCUAGCUAAACAGGGGUGGCGCAUUUUGAAUAACCCGGAUUCUCUAGUUGCAAAAGUUUUAAAAGUAAAGUAUUUUCCAAAUGUUGAUUUUUUAGAUUCCCAUUUGGGGAAUAAUGCUUCAUAUACAUGGAAGAGUAUUUGGGCUACUAAGGGUGUCUUAGCUAAGGGAUUAUGCUGGAGGGUGGGUAAAGGUACAAAUAUCUCGAUUAAUCAUGAUUAUUGGAUUCUAGGUUUAUCGCGAGAUGAAUUACCAGCUUUAACUUCGAAUUUUAAUGUUAGUAAAGUUGCGAAUUUAAUUGAAUCAAGCAGUAGAACAUGGAAACAAGAGUUGAUAGAGUAUACCUUUCCGGAGGAUGUUGCCGAGAAGAUUCUUAGUAUUCUGCUAGCAGAAAAACCACACGAUGAUUUCCAAGUCUGGAGCGCUGAAGCGUCGGGUGAGUUCACAGUCAGGAGUGCCUAUAAACUAUUACAAAACACUGAAAAUAAUCCUAGAGCUUAUGUUUUACAAGAUGACUAUAAGGACUUCUACAGGAAGCUAUGGCUUCUUGAUCUUCCUUCAAAAAUAAAAAUUACAGUUUGGAAGAUCUUUUGGAAUUUCCUAGCAACUCGAGUUAAUAUGCUUCUUAGAAGACUAACAAACUUUUCAAUGUGUCCUCGGUGUGGAUCUGUAUCUGAAUCUAUGGAUCACCUUUUUCGUGAAUGCCCUGUUACAAUUUCAGUGUGGAAAGAGUUAUCAUUUUAUAAGUAUAUGCAAGAAAAUCAGUUGGGGUUUCUUCAGUGGUUAAUCUGGGUUUUUAAACAAAGCUCGGUAUUUCAGUAUCGGACCUUCUGUGUUGCUGUAUGGGCCAUCUGGGGUGAUAGGAAUAACAGACUGCAUAAUAAAGGGAGUAAAUCUGGAAAAGACAUAGGAAGAUUUGUUAACAGAUACAUUUCAGAGUUAGAAUUGGUUG